ACAAAAGACAGUCGCCCCAAACAAGACCACAAGGCUUUCCCUGACACCGUGAAAAUCAUAUCUAUCAUGAAGUCUCGGAGCUGGAACACCCCCGAUGCCAUGACUAAGAUCCUACGAUACCAGGAAAAAGGCUUUGCUGCUGCUUUUAGCAUUCGCUAAUCUUUUGCUUAGUUUAUAUUCUGACAAAUCUACAUAGUAUCUACAAUGAAACAAUAGUAAUUUGUCAAUAAAACCUUGAAAAGUA